UCUCGCGAAGCGAAAAUCAUUGCGUGCGAUUUCGGCUCGUAUUUUGGGUAGAGAUAGGCCCCGCGAGAU
rnacentral:tRNA from 1 species